AUGAGGAUGUGGACAGCUUGGUGUGUGUCCUUGUGCUUCUUUGGAGCAAGAGCUGGAAUCACCCAAACCUCCAGUCUUGUGCUGAAAGAAGAUGACAAAGCUACUCUGACAUGUAGCCAAGAUGAUGAUCACAGUGCCAUGUACUGGUAUCUGCAGCAGCCAGGGAAGGGGCUGCAACUGAUCUAUUAUUCCUUAGGGGAAUAUCAGCAAUAUGAGGGUGACUUUCACACUGGAUACAAAGCUCAACGGCCAAACCGCUCUGACUUCUCCUUGGAUAUUUUAUCAGUGAAGAUGAACUAUUCUGCUGUCUAUUUCUGUGCCAGCAGUGUGAACACAGCACUUCAAAGUCACUUCCUUUCUUUACAUAAACGUCUCUUACCAGCACUUUCUGUCAGAAGGCAGCUGCUCUCAGCACAGGAAGAGGGUCUGCAGGCCAACAGCCUGGUCACAAACCAGAUGUUGCCAGGGCAUUGGAGCAAGAGAGGGAGCACAGGUCUUGGAAGUGCAGGUUAA